UCCCAAGUUGACUUUCAUGUUUUUCAUGUUUUUCACCAAAUCUUUCAAGGGUUUUAAGAGUUUUGGUGUGUUUUGAAGGUUUUGAGCAAAACUAGUAAGUUUGGAAGUUUGGAGCUUUGGAAGAGGUUUUCUUCAUAUCUCCACGUUAGGAUCACUUGAUCUCUUGUUUGGAAGAGGUAAGUCAAGAUCCAGAACCUCUUUUACUGAUUUUUGAAGGUUUUAUGGGAGUUGUAUGGAUAGUAUGCAUGAAUAGGGUUUUGGUUGAGGUUUUGCAUGAUUUUGUGUUUCAGCAUGUUUAAGUGUUGUUUGUAUGUUUCUUGGGGUUAUAAGUGAGUUUUAGGCCCUUUUAUGCAUGUUUUAUGGUAUGUGCUAGUUGGGAGUAGUUGAUAUGCAUGUUGGGUAAGUUUGGGGGAAAGGUUUGCAUGAAACAGAGCAGGGUUCUGCCCAGCGGGCAAAACCAGGUUCGGCCGCCG
rnacentral:lncRNA from 1 species